GACGAACGCUGGCGGCGUGCUUAACACAUGCAAGUCGAACGAAGUGGCGAACGGGUGAGUAACGCGUAAUCAACCUGCCCUUCAGAGGGGGACAACAGUUGGAAACGACUGCUAAUACCGCAUACGGAAGGAGGGGUUUGGGUCGGAUUAGCUAGUGGGGGGGGUAACGGCCCACCAAGGCGAUGAUCAGUAGCCGGUCUGAGAGGAUGAGCGGCCACAUUGGAACUGAGACACGGCCCAGACUCCUACGGGAGGCAGCAGUGGGGAAUAUUCCGCAAUGGACGAAAGUCUGACGGAGCAACGCCGCGUGAAUGAUGACGGCCUUCGGGUUGUAAAGCUCUGUUAAUCGGGACGCGGUACCGAAAUAGAAAGCCACGGCUAACUACGUGCCAGCAGCCGCGGUAAUUC
rnacentral:rRNA from 1 species